rnacentral:lncRNA from 1 species
GUCAAUUCCAGGCCAGUGGUAGAGGCAGGCUCUGUCCUGGGAAGUGUCUUCUUUUAUAUCAUUACAGUACAGAAAACUUUGGUCCAACAGCACAAUUUCAGAAGCUCACUACAUGGCUGCAACAUCAAUUUGUAUGUAAAGCUGUCUUACUCCUGCCUAUGGAAAAGAGAAGGAGAUUAAAAAAAACACCAAACAAUAAAGCCAAAGCAAUUUAACUGUCCUGAUAAACUGUCCACAUCAGUAAGCUGCCCUACAAAAAGUCUCAAUCCUCAUUUUCUCUAACUCAGCUUCCACAUUCAGCAAAACAUUUGUUGAGAUACCUGCCAAUUUUGAAACCCAUACAUUUUUUAGAGAGCACUGCUUGAAACACACGGUUCUUUAUGUAGUAAAGAGGUGUUAGGUGUUAAGUACAUAUUAACACUAGCAUUUAUCCUAAAUAACUGUCACAUAAAGAAGCUGCACAAAUUUUCUCCUGUACAAGUUUAACUGCCUGAAAAUAAGCUGCUUACAGAGCUCUAAGACUGAAAUGGAGCAAAAGCACAAGACUAUAACACAGGACUUGUGGUUUGAACCAGCUCUACUCUUCUAAGAUUCUAGCAAGACACAACACUUGCUACAAUGAAUUGACUUGAUGUGAGAUGACACGAGAGAUUUUGGUAUAGGUAUGCAAAUGACUCCAGAACAUCUAUUUCCUCAGAAAUUCUAUUAAACUAGACUUAGAUUGACUCAUUUAGUUUUACCAUCAAUAAAAACAACAUAAAAAUAAUUUAUUAAUUCAUUUUAACCCGUGUCAAGCAAGUGCUGUGAUGGUCACAGAGCGACCUUGAAACACUAGGUUGAACACUACUGAAGAUCAGACUGUCCUCAAACAUCUUCAACUUGUUUUUAGCUCAGCUGAGCUGCAAAAACAAUCAGCAGUUAUAUCAAAACUUAUGAAGGCCAAUAUUAUUGAAGAGAAAAAUCUACUUGCUCAAACUCAUUGCCAUAAGUCAGGUAAAAAGAGCAACAGACCUUGCUCCCCCACUUCACUUCCAAGAUACACAGCUCUAAAACUGCAAAGCUACAAGAUAGUGGAAGAGUGAAUGAGUCACUAGGAAAGUGCAAUCCUUUGGUGACUUGAGAUGUAAAAUCAGCUUUGAGUAUACAUGACAGAAUAUUCUGCAUAGUCCUUCCCAGAAACUAUCCCUUAACAAUCUCAAAGUACAUAGAGAAAGCCAUACAGACGAAUUUGUACCUGAUUCAUAAUCUAGAGCAGUAUAUAAUGGAAUAUCUAAGAAUGACCCAACUUUAUGAAUAAAAUUAGAUUUUAGAAUAUUUGUAAGCUUCAGUGGCAUUUCCCCUGAAAGUGCUGAAACUGAGUAUGCUAGAUGCAUGCAAAUCCCUAAACGAUCCAUUCUGUAAGUUUUAAUAGAGGAGAAAUGUAAUAAAGAUAAUAAAAUAAUAAAAAAUAAAACAAGUCAUAGAAUAAUAGAAUGGUUUAGGUUGGAAGAGAUCUUACAGCCCAUCUAGUUCCAACCCCCCUGCCACGGGCUGGUUGCCACCCACUAGAUCAGGCUGCCCAGGACCCCAUCCAACUUGGCCUUGAAUGCCUCCAGGGAUGGGGCAUCCAUAGCUUCUGUGGGCAAAGUCACUUUCUUAGAGAAAAAAAGUUUCAUGAAGUUCCUGACUAUUAGGAUAAAAUAGGCACUUACCAGAUGCAUAAACAAUUCACCACACACAUGUACUGACAACACAAUUGACCAGUACAACAUUUAGAGCGAGAGAAGGAACAUGCAUGUGAGCAUGUGCAAAUGCUUUCCCUGCUGCAUAAAGCUUUCAAAAGAUUUAUGCAAGCACUGAACUGUAUAUAAAGGUAUUUUUUAGAGUAUUACAUGCAACUGAUCAGAAGCUCCCUUCUUGACUAUCCAGCUGACUUCGACAAAUUAGUAAUUUAUGUAUCCUCAAAGUAUUACCAUUUAGCCGACAAUAUUUAUUUUAUUGCAUAAAACACUGGUUAUAAACAGGAAUAUCCAUCUCCCUUUCAGCUACUGAAAGCUCCAUUACUCAGAAUUAGAGGAAGAAAAUUGAAAUAUCUAUGCAUUUUUUCAUAAAUAUAGUCCUGCAACAACAGAAAUAAAAAUCAAGAUAUUGCCCCUGGAUGGCAUAAGUUACCACCUUUGCUCCUGACAAAGUUCUCUUGCUGGAGAAUUCUCUAUUUUAUCUCAAUGGACUCUAGAUAAUCCCUGUAAGCCAUUCGUGUCCUGCAGCUACGCUGGAAUAGGCAGCCAAACUAAGUGUUUAAUGAUUUGAAAGUAUAAGGAAGCAACAGAAAAUGUUUACUCAAGUUUCUACGAUUUUGGUCUUCUUAAUAGAACUCCUAUCUUCUAAUAAAGUGUCAGGUGUUCACAAGAAUUCCAUACCAACUUCAUACCAACUAUAAAUGCUAUCAAAUACAUCUCUAUGUAAAAACAAAUAUAUUAUUCUAUAGGGAAACAGGGAAAUACACUGAUCUUACAAAACACGACAAUUAAUGGUUACAUUUUAAUCAGUGAUCAUCACAGCAUAUAUGUUACUGAAAAACAGCAUAACAUGCAAAGAAAAAUGAUUAUUAAACUAGGUCCAGUCUGUGGUCAGAAGCUCUCUCGAGGGAAGACAUUUAUUUUCUUGGUUCCUCACAUUUACUCAAAUAUACAGGUUUCAACACCUCAGAAUAUUACUGCUCUUAUUUCCAUUACAUGGCAUUAACAGUUAAUGCAGGGAGGUAUAGAAAUUCCACCUACACUACAAGGAAUUCUGAAAUUGUCCUUCACAGCUGGAGAAGAGAAGCUUUUCAACAGUUACAAUGAUACCAAAAAAAGAAAACUUUUUCUUAACAAGAGUUGUAGUGUCACGUCAGGUAACUUUGCUGAUGAGAUACAUACCUGAGUAAAAAUAUUGUGAGUCUGGCUUAGAAUCCACCUUCCAUCAGCAUCAGGAGCUACUAAUAAUUUCAAAGUCCCUAUGUAAACGUCAGUACAGAGGGUCCAGAAGUGUGGAUCAUGUAAACUGUAAACUCCUUGCAACUGCUGCACCUAAACAUAAAAGCAACUUUAUUCUUUUUUCCCCCUGAAAAUACAUGGGCUUAAAUUCCUUAUUACAGUCUUUAUGAUUGUAAAGAAUUGAAAGCAGAUUCUAUGUAUGGGUCAUAAUUCUCUAUCUUGCUACUUGUACACUGUACAAAUAUUUUAUUGAAACCAUUUCUGGAAACAGUGGUGUUCAAGAGAGAAAAAUAAUGUAUUUUGUUGAAUCCCUUCUCAAAUUCCAACAGUAAUUUCUGCAAAUGGAGUAAUUUUCCUAUUAAAAAAGUAGAGAUUCCAGCUAUUAAUAGAAAUGUAUUAAUAUGCCUGUAAAUAUUUUGUGAGGGCUUAAGUUUGUUCCAUCAAAACAAUUCGUCUUCCAAUUCUAGGUGGUCAUUAUAAAUCCAUAACUUUUUGAGAUACAAUGACACUCAUUCUGCAAGCACAUUAAUACAGUGUACUUCGUAAGUUUGCAAAGGUGCUUCACAUGCUCAGAUUAUGACACAUAAGGUAAAUCAGCCAGGAGUAACAGGACAAAUCAAAUCCAGAUUAACCUCCUUACACACAAUUGUCAAUGUUAUUUUACCUCAAUUUAGUAAAGACGGAUCUAGAUUUUGAGAGAUCUAGAUUUUGAGAGAGAGAAACUACCCUGAACAAAAGAACAACAUCAUGCACAAGCAGCACAAAUGACUGUGAGGAAAAGCUUCAGGAUCUCUUUUUGUAACCUAACAUAGCACAAGUUGAAGUUAAGCUACAUAAUAUUUAAAAUUUCAGAAAAAUAAUUUAUCUGGCAUCUUCAUUUCUACAAUCUAGAGAACCUUUCACAAGCUUUACUAGAAAAGAAUAUAUAACAUCCUCAUGUAUGGCUGAGGAUUCUCAUAUACAAAAAUGGCCAAAGUAAGAGCUUACCCUCUGAUAGCACUGAGGCAGGGCAUUUUCCAGAGAUGGAGGAGUUCGCUGCAUCAAAAUUCCAAUGGAUUCUUUUAGAAGUGGAACAAUACUUACUCCUAUAAGUAAUGCUAUCAGCAUUGAACAAAUAGGAUCUGCUAUCAUUAGACCAUAGUUCUGCAUCAAUAUAGCAGAUAUGAUUACACCAAUACUUCCAAGUGUGUCUGCAACAAUGUGUAGAAAUACACCUUGUAAGAUCUGCUUGCUAGAACCAGUCAUCCCCUCAAGACAAU